CAAUUUAGAAAUUGAGAUUUAAAUUAGAAAUUAGGUUUUAUACGUUGAAACACAUAUAAGGUAAUGGUUCAAAAAUACGGACCAAUUAUUCCAAGAUUGACGUUUUGAGUAUGAUAUUUUUGGUAUUUGUCUAUGGCUAAUCUCUGAAAUCCAAUUCAAAGCGAUGAUGCUGAAGCUUGAGUAAUUCACCUCCGUUAAAGCUCCACUGUAGAAGCUUAUGAGCUUAACUCCUUAUUGAAACAAAAUUAGAGGUAAGUUCUGUUUUUUUUUUUUCAUUUAUUAACCAUUGAAUAUCAAUUUUUCAGGUCAUUAGUCAAAUUCGGGAUAUUUUAAGGUUAAAUAGUCAGUCUUCUCGGAGCACCGAAGCUCAAUCCUGGUCCUGCCGCCGCCAUCCAAGCUGUUAUGCACCGAACCAAUUGAUUUGAUUCCGCUACUUAUCGAAAUCAGUCCCUGAGAUUUUCACUCUGGAGUACAUUCCUAGGGUUCAAGAAGAUUCUAGGGAAGAAUUUUCCCGUAAUCCUUGGGUUUUUGCCCUAGAUGUUCUUCGCACUCAUGGUCAAUAGAUGCAUGGGCAAAAUGGGAAAGGCAGUUAUCGAAGAAGCAGCUAAUGCUGGACUUCAUAUUGUUCUUGUAUCAUUCGGUGCACAGGAGGAGAGUGGGCAACUUGUCUAAGUGGGAGAUAAAGAAAUUCAGGUACACGGUCCUUCUAAAAGAGAAGAUAUCCUUGCCUCUGUCUAUGAUGAAUAUCCUGAGCUGAUUGUGGUAUACUAUACAGUGCCGACUGCAGUAAAUGGCUGGGAAACAUUCAUUAUAUUUAUCUCAGAUAAUAUACUAAGCAAGGUCAUGGGAUUUAUCUCUGUCCCAAUUUAUCUCUCAAGGGUGACAGACAGUCCUAAGUUGUUGCUUCAAUUAGGAGUCACUUUUUCUAGUUGUGCAUUGUUUGGUAUCACUUUCCGGUAUGCAGUGAGAAGAGAUAUUGAUGAUACUCAUCUUAAAACCGGAGCAGCUGGAGCUUUCGCUGUAGUCAAAGGUACUUACUAGACAUGUUAAGUCAUGAGUAUGGAUGAUACGACUUUCAAGGAGUUCUUAGAAUUUAGUUCCUCGUAUGCCAGGUCUUGCUACAUUGUAUGGAGGAUCCCCUUUAGAGUUCAACUCAACAAGUUUCCUAUCGCAUGUUGUGGAUGGAGCGUUCUUUGUGUUCCAAGAUCUGUUUAUAUUCACUUGUGUGGAGGAUCCCCUUUAGAGUUCAACUCAGCAAGACUACUUUGCACUUACUGUCAAUACUACUUUAUAUUUUUCUACUUGAGUAGCACCAAAUUUGUAAAUUUUACUAGUGUUCUACGGAAAAAAAAAAUAAAAAAUUGUUGUUUCUUGGGUUUUUUGUUAUUAGUUUUGUGGCCAACUGUACUAAUUAAAAAUUUUGGAAUAAAUGAAAAUUUACGUUGAA